AUCACCUGACUCUUUAUGAUGAUUGACCAAUCACCAUCUUUCGGCUGA
rnacentral:snoRNA from 1 species